AGGUUCAUAAUUUAUCCGCAUGUUCUCGUUUCAUCAUGUAUCUGCAGGUGUUUUCAUGCUCCAUUGAGUGAAGUUUAUUUAUGAAAUGAAAGUGGCUUUAAAAUAAAAAAUGUAAUUGUGAGAGUCAAAAUAAAGACAAAAAUGUCACAAUUAUUUCUAAACAUCCAGUUUGCUGCAGCAGUGUUUGAUGAGGGAAAUUUAAUUUCUUAACAUUUCUGCUCUGCUGUCAGUGUCUGAGACACAUUUGAGAGGAAACGCUUUGAAUUUGUGUCCCACCCCUGUGAUUGGAGCUCAAUAUCAGAGCGUCUGUCAGUCCGACUGUAAAUCCAACAUCACUGUCCUUCAGUUUCACUCAUUCCCAGUAAAGAUGAGGACACACGCUCUGAUCAUCUGCUCUCUGCUGCUGCUGCUCAACGAGUGUAGAGGACAGAUCACCGUCACUCAGAGUCCCUCAAUGACAGCAGCUCAACCAGGACAAACUGUGAACAUCAACUGUAAAACCAGCAGUAAUGUGUACAGAUGGAGUGGUGGGGAGGAAGGUUUAGCCUGGUACUUACAGAAAUCUGGAGAAGCUCCUAAACUCCUGAUUUAUUAUGCAAACCGCCGUCAGUCAGGAACUCCAACUAGAUUCAGUGGCAGUGGAUCUAACAGUGAUUUCACUCUGACCAUCAGUGGAGUCCAGACUGAAGAUGCUGGACAUUAUUACUGUCAGAGUUACCAUGUCAUCAGCAGUAAAGAUGUG